GGGAUAUGAUGAGUGGUCAAAACUCGCAUUUAAAUAUGCGAGAAGGGUGUCCAGCCCAGCCUGGUUACGACAAACCAUGGGCACUCCCUUUUACCUAUCUGAUCCC
rfam:Nicotiana sylvestris Nsyl_contig196712, whole genome shotgun sequence.